UACGUAGGAUGCAAGCGUUGUCCGGAUUUAUUGGAUUUCAAGGGGGCGUAGGCGGCUUAUUAAGUUAGUGGAGAAAAAGUUCGGCUUAACCGGAUACCCGCCAUUGAUACUGAUAGACUUGAGUGCGACAGAGGGUGUUGGAAUGUGUGGUGUAGCGGUGAAAUGCUUAGAUAUCACGCAGAACACCAAUUGCGAAGGCAGAUGCCUAUGUCGUAACUGACGCUGAGGCACGAAAGCGUGGGGAGCAAACAGG
rnacentral:rRNA from 1 species